AACGAACGCUGGCGGCAUGCCUAACACAUGCAAGUCGAACGAUUGCCUUCGGGUGAUAGUGGCGCACGGGUGCGUAACGCGGGGGAAUCUGCCCUUAGGUUCGGAAUAACAGCUGGAAACGGCUGCUAAUACCGGAGGAUAUCGCGAGAUCAAAGAUUUAUCGCCUGAGGAUGAGCCCGCGUUGGAUGAGGUGGUUGGUGGGGUAAAGGCCUACCAAGCCGACGAUCCAUAGCUGGUCUGAGAGGAUGAUCAGCCACACUGGGACUGAGACACGGCCCAGACUCCUACGGGAGGCAGCAGUGGGGAAUAUUGGACAGUGGGCGCAAGCCUGAUCCAGCAAUGCCGCGUGAGUGAUGAAGGCCCUAGGGUUGUAAAGCUCUUUUACCCGGGAAGAUAAUGACUGUACCGGGAGAAUAAGCCCCGGCUAACUCCGUG
rnacentral:rRNA from 1 species